UAGGGAAUCUUGCGCAAUGGGCGAAAGCCUGACGCAGCGACGCCGCGUGCGGGAAGAAGGCCUUCGGGUUGUAAACCGCUUUCAGGAGGGACGAAGCCACUCGGGUUAAUAGCCCAGAGGGUGACGGUACCUCCAGAAGAAGCCCCGGCUAACUACGUGCCAGCAGCCGCGGUAAUACGUAGGGGGCAAGCGUUGUCCGGAUUUAUUGGGCGUAAAGAGCGUGUAGGCGGCCAGAUAGGUCAGCUGUGAAAACUCGAGGCUCGACCUCGAGAUGUCGGCUGAAACCAUCUGGCUAGAGUCCGGAAGAGGAGAAUGGAAUUCCCGGUGUAGCGGUGAAAUGCGCAGAUAUCGGGAAGAACACCCGUGGCGAAGGCGGUUCUCUGGGACGGUACUGACGCUGAGACGCGAAAGCGUGGGGAGCGAACAGGAUUAGAUACCCUGGUAGUCCACGCCGUAAACGAUGGGAACUAGGUGUGGGCGGUGUCGACUCCGUCCGUGCCGAAGCUAACGCUAA
rnacentral:rRNA from 1 species